rnacentral:rRNA from 1 species
AUUGAACGCUGGCGGCAUGCUUUACACAUGCAAGUCGAACGGUAACAGGGAGCUUGCUCCGCCGACGAGUGGCGAACGGGUGAGUAAUGCGUCGGAACGUGCCGAGUAGUGGGGGAUAACGCAUCGAAAGGUGUGCUAAUACCGCAUACGUACUGAGGUAGAAAGUGGGGGACCUUCGGGCCUCACGCUAUUCGAGUGGCCGACGUCUGAUUAGCUAGUUGGUGAGGUAAAGGCUCACCAAGGCGACGAUCAGUAGCGGGUCUGAGAGGAUGAGCAGCCACACUGGGACUGAGACACGGCCCAGACUCCUACGGGAGGCAGCAGUGGGGAAUUUUGGACAAUGGGCGCAAGCCUGAUCCAGCCAUGCCGCGUGUCUGAAGAAGGCCUUCGGGUUGUAAAGGACUUUUGUCCGGGAGCAAAUGCUGGUGGCUAACAUCCACCGGAGCUGAGAGUACCGGAAGAAUAAGCACCGGCUAACUACGUGCCAGCCGCCGCAGUAAAAC